AAGCCUUGGGCUGCAUGAUCCGGAGGGCAGUGGGUGAUUUCUGCUAGAAGGUCACAGUAAGAAAGGAUUCCUUGGCCUGAGCCCACUUAAAAGACUUCGUAUUCUUGAAGCAGACUCCUUCAGAAUGUCCUCCUCUUCUAGUCACUUGGAAGCCAACUUGAGAGAGAAUUGCCAGUCUGAGUGCUUUUGCUUUCUGGCUCUUGUACAAUCCUUCCUGCUCCUUUCCUCAGGCCUAUAGCAAUCAUCAGCUCCAACAUUCUCCUUUCUUACCACAGGAAACUCCAUUGACCAGCUGGCCUGUGGUCUCCUAUGACCAGACUCUCUGCCAAGUUCAGGCAGGGGACAGAGGAAGGAGAAAAGAUCAAAGGCAAAGAUUCAGGAAGGCAGCUGCUGAAGGCUGUGAAGAGAUGUGACCUGCAGGUGGUGCUCAGGUCAAGGCUGGCAGUGACUGGGCCUGACUUCUUUUAGGGAAGGUAAAAUGGGAAGGGUCCCUAUGAUGCCCUGUGGAAAUACCAUGCCUGGUUGCCGAAGAGAAAGCAGGAAGCUCCUUAAGGACAUAAACUACUCAAAGGAACUUCAGGAAGUCCCUGAACCUGAACAGAUUCACCAGGGCUCUCCUUGCCAGAGUAAGCAAUAAAAGCAGAGAGUCCCUCUGAGAGGAGAGAAGCUGAUCUGUACAAGUUCCAAAGAAGACUCUCAGACCAGACCAGCUGCCUGAAAGAAGCAGAAAGCAGCUGAGCUGCCCGAGGCUGCGCAGUGUCCUCCAGGUUCUCAGCUUUCUGAGCUGUUACCCAUGCUUGGGUGGGAUUUGGUGAUGCAGCUGUCUUUGAGUCAUUUCUGCUCCUAUAAGUAACCCCUCUUCCACAUUCCUGUAACUCACCCCCAAUAAAACUCACUGGUUCACCAA